rnacentral:tRNA from 14 species
CGGAAGUCGGAGGUUAAAACCCUCCCUAGUGCU